GAUGAACGCUGGCGGCGUGCCUAAUACAUGCAAGUCGAGCGAACAGAUGAGAAGCUUGCUUCUCUGAUGUUAGCGGCGGACGGGUGAGUAACACGUGGGUAACCUACCUAUAAGACUGGGAUAACUCCGGGAAACCGGGGCUAAUACCGGAUAAUAUUUUGAACCGCAUGGUUCAAUAGUGAAAGACGGUUUCGGCUGUCACUUAUAGAUGGACCCGCGCCGUAUUGGCUAGUUGGUAAGGUAACGGCUUACCAAGGCGAGGAUACGUAGCCGGCCGGAGAGGGUGAUCAGCCACACUGGAACUGAGACACGGUCCAGACUCCUAAGGGAGGCAGCAGUAGGGAAUCUUCCGCAAUGGGCGAAAGCCUGACGGAGCAACGCCGCGUGAGUGAUGAAGGUCUUCGGAUCGUAAAACUCUGUUGUUAGGGAAGAACAAAUUUGUUAGUAACUGAACAAGUCUUGACGGUACCUAACCAGAAAGCCACGGCUAACUACGUGCCAGCAGCCGCAGUAA
rnacentral:rRNA from 1 species